GACCAGGGGACAGAGGAAAAAGGGAGAGGCCACAGCCCAGGCAAAGGGACACAGAGGAGGGGCAGGGAGGAGAGGGAAGGAGGGGGAAAAAAGGUGACGGAUAAAAGGCAGAGAGAACACAGCCUGGGAAAGGGGGGUGAGAAGAAGAAGAAGAAGGAGCCCGCAGGACUUUGGAAGGGAGAGGGAAGGGGAUGGAGAAGGGGGCCUGAGGGCCGGGUGGCACUGCAGGGACCCCAUGGGAAUUGUGUCGCCCUGGGCUGUUGCUGCUGCUGCCUUCCUAGGCCCGGCUCCUCACUGAGCCCAUGUGGAGUGUGUGGAGGGGCUGCGAUCCGGGCCCCAGGGGAGCCGCUGGCAGGGAGGACCAGCCGCUGUCCCGGUCCUCCUGGCCCUCAGAUGGCCUCCGGGAUGGGCGUGGGAGGCCAGGACCAAGGACGGCUACCACCAAAAGAGAAGCAGAGAUCUGCUUGAAGUGGCAGGGCUGGCUGGGUCUGAGAGGUCGACUGGAGGUAGCUGAGCACACAGGAGAAGAGUUGCCAGUGCCUCCCACGGCGCCCAGGAGGGUGGGACCAGCGCCCCCGCUCUGUUCCCCCAGGCCGAGCUGCGCAUGCGCACCUGCACAUCCACCUGGGCUUGGCCACCUAAACUUGGAGGGAACGACCCCAGCUCCGCGUGCCCGGCAGGGCCCAGCUUAGUGCUUUUUACACAUGGCAUCUUUAAUGCCCUGUGGUUGGGAUUAGCCUCUCCAUUAAAAAAAAAAAAAAGAGAGAACAGGUGUGUUCAGUUGAUCUGGAAAGCAAAGCAUUAAGUGCAUGCUCAAAGUGCCCGUUGAUUAUUUGAUAGAAGCAGAAUGUCCUGUGAAGACUUUGCGACUCCAUAUCAGUUGAUCUGGAUUUUAAUGUUCCUUGAGACCUUGGCCAAGACAUUUAGCCUCUACUAGCCCCAGUUUUAUCACCUGUAGAUUGAGGGGAAUAUUCUCUGUGGUGGGGAGUCCUUCUGUGGAUGACGUGAAAUUACUUGGGAGGCCGUAGAAGCACUGUCUUCCCAUGAGAGAAGAUGUCUCCUAUUUGCCUGUGCUCCCAGUCUCUCCUCCUGGCCUUUCUAUUUAUUGUACUGGAGUUUCCCAGGCCUGGUGUGUUUAUGACAUUCCCAACUUAACACAGGAAGAUCGACCAAGGUUAAUGAGAGCAGCUCCCCACAGCUCAAAUCUGGAUAUCGCACAUAGCUGACUGCUGAACAGCAGAAACCAGUGUCCUGCCAAGUCCUCCGCGGUGCUCUGGACCCAGAGCCAGAAAUCUGCUCACCUCCAGCGUCUUAAGACACUGAAAUGAGAACCCGCACAGCUUGGAAAACCAGCACAUAAAACCAGGCUCUGUGUUGCCUACCCUCUCCACUUAUUUAACCAUGUCAGCUCUCAGGCAACUGGAAAACAUGAAAAAGGCCUCAGGAUGCCUCCUGGAAUAUGGUCUACAUUAACUCACAGCUGGUAGCAGUUACAGCAAAAUUAGAAAACAUCGGAGCAAAAUUGUCCUUUCUUUCAAGUUAAAACUCUUCGAAUUCAAGGUUGUGAGCAGUUGGGGUGGCGGGGGUGGGUGGCGGGGAUGGAGAGAAAGCGGGGGAAACUGUGACCUCAACCUUCCAAUCAUGCUGUGCUCCUGGCUGGGUGAUUCCCACUCAAAAAUAGACAUAUAUUCUAAACUCUGACCACUUCUCAGUCUCUCCCCAAGAGGAGAUUCAAUAGAGAAGAUGCUUUGGGACCCCUAAAAUUAACAGAAUUCUAAUGAAUAACCCAGAUCAAUUUCACCGAGGGUGAAAAUGUUUCAUAUCCCUUCAUCCUUCUAAUUUAUUUAUUUUUAAUUAAUUUUUUAAUUGAGAGAAUUUCAGAUUCAUAAGCAGUUGUGCAGAAUAAUACAGAGGGAUCUGGUGUAGAUGUUACCCAGUUUCCCACGAUGGCAGGGUUUUGCAACACCAUCCCAUGAUAUCAUAACCAGAUUAUGGACCUUGAUGCAGUCCACCAGUCUUAUUCACAUUUCCCCAGUGUGACUUGUAGUUAUGCUUGUGUACAUUUCGUUCAGCUCGUUCUUACAUAAUUUUAUUACAUGCCGUAGAUUUAUGUAUGCACCAUGUCAGUCAAGAUACUAGAGUGCCAUCACCACAAGGAUCCCACAUGUUAACCUUUAAUAACUACACCAUGCCCAUCUCCCUUCUGCUCCCAUCUCCCCCAUCACUAAACCCUGGCAAUCACUAAUUGAUUUUCCAUGUCUAUAACUUUGCUAUUUCAAGAACACUAUAUAAAUAUAAUCAUACUGUAUGUAAUUUUUAGGUUUUGACUUUUUUCCACUCAACUCCUUUGAGAUUAAUCCACACUAUUGCCUGAAAUAGUGGUUGAUUUCUCUUUAUUUCUCAGCAGUAUUUCAUGGUAUGAAUGUAUCAGAGUUUAUUUAACCAUUUACCUAUUGAAGGACUUCUGAAUUGUUUCCAGUUUGGGGAUAUUGUGAAUAAAACUGCUGUGAAUAUUCAUGUCCAGGUUUUUGUGUUAAUGUACAUUUUCAUUCCUAAUUAUUUUUGCACUGAAGGUUGAGGUUGUGCUUAGUGGGGAGGAAUUAAGGCUGA
rnacentral:lncRNA from 10 species